rnacentral:rRNA from 1 species
GGUUUGAUCCUGGCUCAGAUUGAACGCUGGCGGGAUGCUUUACACAUGCAAGUCGAACGGCAGCACGGACUUCGGUCUGGUGGCGAGUGGCGAACGGGUGAGUAAUGUAUCGGAACGUGCCUAGUAGCGGGGGAUAACUACGCGAAAGGGGUAGCUACUACCGCAUACGCCCUUCGGGGAAAGCGGGGACCUUCGGGCCUCGCACUAUUAGAGCGGCCGAUAUCGGAUUAGCUAGUUGGUGGGGUAACGGCUCACCAAGGCGACGAUCCGUAGCUGGUUUGAGAGGACGACCAGCCACACUGGGACUGAGACACGGCCCAGACUCCUACGGAGGCAGCAGUGGGGAAUUUUGGACAAUGGGGAAACCCUGAUCCAGCCAUCCCGCGUGUGCGAUGAAGGCCUUCGUAAAGCACUUUGGCAGGAAAGAAACGGCACGGGAUAAUACCCGUGCAACUGACGGUACCUGCAGAAUAAGCACCGGCUAACUACGUGCCAGCAGCCGCGGUAAUACGUAGGGUGCAAGCGUUAAUCGGAAUUACUGGGCGUAAAGCGUGCGCAGGCGGUUCGGAAAGAAAGAUGUGAAAUCCCAGAGCUAACUUUGAACUGCAUUUUUAACUACCGAGCUAGAGUGUGUCAGAGGGAGGUGGAAUUUCCGCGUGUAGCAGUGAAAUGCGUAGAUAUGCGGAGGAACACCGAUGGCGAAGGCAGCCUCCUGGGAUAACACUGACGCUCAUGCACGAAAGCGUGGGAGCAAACAGGAUUAGAUACCCUGGUAGUCCACGCCCUAAACGAUGUCAACUAGCUGUUGGGGCCUUCGGCCCCGGUAGCAGCUAAACGAAGUUGACCGCCUGGGGAGUACGGUCGCAAGAUUAAAACUCAAAGGAAUUGACGGGGACCGCACAAGCGGUGGAUGAUGUGGAUUAAUUCGAUGCAACGCGAAAAACCUACUCACCCUUGACAUGUCUGGAAUCCCGAAGAGAUUUGGGAGUGCUCGCAAGAGAACCGAACACAGGUGCUGCAUGGCUGUCGUCAGCUCGUGUCGUGAGAUGUCGGGUUAAGUCCCGCAACGAGCGCAACCCUUGUCAUUAUUACGAAAGGGCACCUAAUGAGACUGCCGGUGACAAACCGGAGGAAGGUGGGGAUGACGUCAAGUCCUCAUGGCCCUUAUGGGUAGGGCUUCACACGUCAUACAAUGGUCGGGACAGAGGGUCGCCAACCCGCGAGGGGGAGCCAAUCCCAGAAACCCGAUCGUAGUCCGGAUCGCACGUCUGCAACUCGACUGCGUGAAGUCGGAAUCGCUAGUAAUCGCGGAUCAGCAUGUCGCGGUGAAUACGUUCCCGGGUCUUGUACACACCGCCCGUCACACCAUGGGAGUGGGUUUUACCAGAAGUAGUUAGCCUAACCGUAAGGGAGGGCGAUUACCACGGUAGGAUUCAUGACUGGGGUGAAGUCGUAACAAGGUAA